rnacentral:rRNA from 1 species
GACGAACGCUGGCGGCGUGCUUAACACAUGCAAGUGGAGCGACGAACCAGGGCUUGCCCUGGGGCAGAGCCGCGAACGGGUGAGUAUCACGUGGGUAACGUACCCCGAUGACUGGGACAACCCGGGGAAACCCGGGCUAAUACCGGAUGUGCCCCCUCACAUCAGUGAGGUGUGUAAAGGAAGCUUCGGCCUCCGCAUCGGGAUCGGCCUGCGGCCCAUUAGCUUGUUGGUGAGGAACGGCUCACCAAGGCUUCGAUGGGUAGCUGGUCUGAGAGGACGAUCAGCCACACUGGGACUGAGACACGGCCCAGACUCCUACGGGAGGCAGCAGUGGGGAAUCUUGCGCAAUGCGCGAAAGCGUGACGCAGCAACG